UACAGAGGGGGCAAGCGUUAUUCGGAAUUAUUGGGCGUAAAGGGCGCGUAGGCGGCUUUGCAAGUGACGGGUGAAAUCCCUCGGCUUAACCGAGGAACUGCCUGUCAAACUGCAUGGCUUGAGACCGGGAGAGGUGAGUGGAAUUCCCAGUGUAGCGGUGAAAUGCGUAGAUAUUGGGAGGAACACCAGUGGCGAAGGCGGCUCACUGGACCGGUACUGACGCUGAGGCGCGAAAGCGUGGGGAGUGAACAGG
rnacentral:rRNA from 1 species